rnacentral:rRNA from 1 species
GACGAACGCUGGCGGCGUGCUUAACACAUGCCAGUCGAACGGAAAGGCCCUGCUUUUGUGGGGUGCUCGAGUGGCGAACGGGUGAGUAACACGUGAGUAACCUGCCCUUGACUUUGGGAUAACUUCAGGAAACUGGGGCUAAUACCGGAUAGGAGCUCCUGCUGCAUGGUGGGGGUUGGAAAGUUUCGGCGGUUGGGGAUGGACUCGCGGCUUAUCAGCUUGUUGGUGGGGUAGUGGCUUACCAAGGCUUUGACGAGUAGCCGGCCUGAGAGGGUGACCGGCCACAUUGGGACUGAGAUACGGCCCAGACUCCUACGGGAGGCAGCAGUGGGGAAUAUUGCACAAUGGGCGGAAGCCUGAUGCAGCAACGCCGCGUGCGGGAUGACGGCCUUCGGGUUGUAAACCGCUUUCGCCUGUGACGAAGCGUGAGUGACGGUAAUGGGUAAAGAAGCACCGGCUAACUACGUG